rnacentral:rRNA from 1 species
GCUGGCGGCGUGCCUAACACAUGCAAGUCGAGCGGAGAUGAUGUGAGGAAGUUUUCGGAUGGAAUCACAUUAUUUAGCGGCGGACGGGUGAGUAACGCGUGAGCGACCAACCUUGCACAGGGGGAUAACGGACCGAAAGGUUCACUAAUACCGCAUGAGACCACAGUGUUGCAUGACACAGGGGUCAAAGGAGCAAUCCGGUGCAAGACGGGCUCGCGUCCGAUUAGGUAGUUGGUGGGUAACGGCCCACCAAGCCUAUGAUCGGUAGCCGACCUGAGAGGGUGAUCGGCCACAUUGGAACUGAGAUACGGUCCAAACUCCUACGGGAGGCAGCAGUGGGGAAUAUUGGGCAAUGGGGGAAAAACCCCCUGACCCAGCAACGCCGCGUGAAGGAAGAAGGUUUUCGGAUUGUAAACUUCUGUCCUUGGUGAAGAGAAGAAGACGGUAGCCAAGGAGGAAGCCCCGGCUAACUACGUGCCAGCCGCUGC